rnacentral:lncRNA from 1 species
AGCAAGUGAGGAUCACGUGUGUUAUCUUGGGAAUCUUUGGGGAUCAAAUUGGAUUGAAUAGAAGUCGCGGGACCAAGGUUGGAUUAAUAUUGAAAUCCUGUUAAUUUUUCCCCAUUUCCUUCGGUCUUCCCCUCUCUCCCACUCUCCCUCGCGCGUGCUUUCCCUCACCCGACAACUCUCUGCUUGGUCUUCAAUUUUCCUUUCUUCUUUGACCGGUCUCUUCUUAUCCUCUUUCACGGCUCUCUCUCUCUCUCAAUCCAUUUCGCACGUUCCCUCCUUGGCCCACCACCUGCCGACACUCCCUUCUUCCCUUAUCCCUUCCCUCUUUUAUUUGUUUCUUUUCUGCUUUUUGUUUUCUUCAGUUCGGUAGAAGGACCAGCGACCCACCGAUCGAUCUCUCUCUCUCUCUUCACUACACCUUCACCCAUGCGAGCUGCCCCACGUCUUCUGGUUUUGUUCCUUUCAUUUGGAGUUUCCUCCGAAGCUCUACCCCACGCCACAUGGCCGCGCCUCCACUUCACUCGGUCAACACCCCACCGAAAUCCCUCCCGGCUUUGGCUUCGUUGACCCGCGCCUCUACUCCACGCCUGCAAAACCCCAACGAAGCAGCAUCCGUUUGAAGCAGCAUCCGUCCGAAGCUGCUCCAUCUUCGUUCUCUCCCCCUUGCCGUCUCACGCUGCAGCUUCUCAGUCGGAUUGUUGACCGCAAGUUCCACGAUUGAUGGUCCACGACGCCACCUGGCCCAACGUCCGUGAGCAGCUUUAUCUUCGCUGCUUCGUGCGUCUCCAGCCACGAUGUCCAGAGAAGCCCAGUGUCUUCGCAGCAUCAUCGAGGUAGUAGUCUUCAUCGCCUUGGUCAGUAUUUCCUUGGUCUUCCUCAGCCACGCCAGCGAAGCCCCUACGAGCGCCAGUCCACCGAUUCUUCAACAAGCCCACGCACUCCUGUUCAUCUUCGCUUGAGUGUGUCUCGGUCCAGCAACAGCACUGACUGCCUUCCAUUGAUCGUGGGCUCAGCAAAUUGAAGCCCAACUCAGAUUUAGCUCAAAACUUCAGCAGCUCCAUUGGGCUUUCUUGUUCAGCCCAAUUUCGGCCCAAGAAGUCAGCAGUCCUCAGCCCAUUAAUUAAGUCCAGCAGCCCAAGUCUUGGCCCAGCAGCAAGCCCACGCCUUUUAGAAGCCCAGAAGAAUUAGAAGCCCGCAAUUUUGAGGCCCAAGCCCGCGAAGUCAGGCCCACCGAAUCAGUGGACUCAGCCCAGCUUGAGCAGCGAGCUUGUAGGCCGAUUUCGGCCCCGGUUUGACCCCGGUUGGCGGACCCGCUUUGGAGAGGAUUGACCCUUGUCGCGUGCUCGUCGAUUUGUUCCGAUCAAAUCUUUAAUCAAGUGAGUUUUACUCACUAAUGCUUUAUUAAUUAUGUCUUAAGGUUGGUUAGAUUUAAUUACAUGCACUUAGGUGGUUAGAUUAGGUUAGAACAAGCAAUUUAGUGACUUAAUGAUGCAUGUUAGGUGGUUAGACCUAGUUAUUAGCAAUUACAAAUGUUUGGUUAUUUAUUGAAUGCAUCUCGGGAUUUUUCCCGACCCGUUUCGGGCUCCAAUAAGGCAAUAUGGGCCUAAAUUGGAUUUUUUAUGUUUAUUUAUUUAUUUUCGAAAUUUAUUUAUUUAAUUAAUUAUUUUCCGGAAAUUCAACCGGGAUGGCCGGUAACCGGAAUUUCGUGCCGAUUGUCGUGGUGCAGACCGUUUAUUUAUUUGAGCUCUACGUUGUGUGGAAUUGAAUUUAUUGUGGAAUUUUAGGAAUUGCCCUAAAUUGGUUGUUAUUGAAUAUUUGAUUGGUUGUUGGCCGAAUAUGGGUAUAUAGCGCCAGUACGUUGAUGGGCUAUAUAGUAGGGAGAAUGGUGAGAGUUAACUGAGAAUGUUAUUGGCUGAGACCAAUCAGGUACGAUGUUAUUGGACAUACGUGGUUCGGUGAUUGGAAGUAUCACUGGCGAAAACGGCGCCUUAAAGAACGCACGUAAAUGACUUAUAGACAAACGUGGUUCGGUGGUUAUGGGAAUAUCACUAGUGAAAACGGUGCCUUAAAGAACGCACGAUGUUGUCUAUAACCGAUGUCACCUUGGCGAAAACGGCGCCCUUGAAAGGACACGUAGUUCGGUGAUCAAGGUUAUCACUGGUGAAAACGGCGCCUUAAAGAACGCACGGUGUCGGUGAUCGGUAUGUCAUUGGCGAAAACGACGCCCGAGAAACACAUGUGAUUUGGUGAAUGAGUACACCACUGGGAAAUCGUGGUAUGAGUGAGAAUGACCUAGAAAGGGUCUAGCUGGCAUGUAAUCGACUUAGUCGAUUGACCAGUGCUUGAUCGGAUGUCGUGAAUUGUUUGAAUAUCUAUGUUUAACCUUGAAUUGCAGGUUGGAACUGAGGCUAAGGUAAGUCCUCUGACUCGUGUUGUGCUUAGGCAACCG